rnacentral:rRNA from 3 species
CAAAUCGUACCCCAAACCGACACAGGUGGUCAGGUAGAGAAUACCAAGGCGCUUGAGAGAACUCGGGUGAAGGAACUAGGCAAAAUGGUGCCGUAACUUCGGGAGAAGGCACGCUGACACGUAGGUGAAGUGAUUUACUCAUGGAGCUGAAGUCAGUCGAAGAUACCAGCUGGCUGCAACUGUUUAUUAAAAACACAGCACUGUGCAAACACGAAAGUGGACGUAUACGGUGUGACGCCUGCCCGGUGCCGGAAGGUUAAUUGAUGGGGUCAGCGCAAGCGAAGCUCCUGAUCGAAGCCCCGGUAAACGGCGGCCGUAACUAUAACGGUCCUAAGGUAGCGAAAUUCCUUGUCGGGUAAGUUCCGACCUGCACGAAUGGCGUAAUGAUGGCCAGGCUGUCUCCACCCGAGACUCAGUGAAAUUGAACUCGCUGUGAAGAUGCAGUGUACCCGCGGCAAGACGGAAAGACCCCGUGAACCUUUACUAUAGCUUGACACUGAACAUUGAGCCUUGAUGUGUAGGAUAGGUGGGAGGCUUUGAAGUGUGGACGCCAGUCUGCAUGGAGCCGACCUUGAAAUACCACCCUUUAAUGUUUGAUGUUCUAACGUGGACCCGUUACCCGGGUUGCGGACAGUGUCUGGUGGGUAGUUUGACUGGGGCGGUCUCCUCCUAAAGAGUAACGGAGGAGCACGAAGGUUGGCUAAUCCUGGUCGGACAUCAGGAGGUUAGUGCAAUGGCAUAAGCCAGCUUGACUGCGAGCGUGACGGCGCGAGCAGGUGCGAAAGCAGGUCAUAGUGAUCCGGUGGUUCUGAAUGGAAGGGCCAUCGCUCAACGGAUAAAAGGUACUCCGGGGAUAACAGGCUGAUACCGCCCAAGAGUUCAUAUCGACGGCGGUGUUUGGCACCUCGAUGUCGGCUCAUCACAUCCUGGGGCUGAAGUAGGUCCCAAGGGUAUGGCUGUUCGCCAUUUAAAGUGGUACGCGAGCUGGGUUUAGAACGUCGUGAGACAGUUCGGUCCCUAUCUGCCGUGGGCGCUGGAGAACUGAGGGGGGCUGCUCCUAGUACGAGAGGACCGGAGUGGACGCAUCACUGGUGUUCGGGUUGUCAUGCCAAUGGCACUGCCCGGUAGCUAAAUGCGGAAGAGAUAAGUGCUGAAAGCAUCUAAGCACGAAACUUGCCCCGAGAUGAGUUCUCCCUGAGACUUAGAGUCUCCUGAAGGAACGUUGAAGACGACGACGUUGAUAGGCCGGGUGUGUAAGCGCAGCGAUGCGUUGAGCUAACCGGUACUAAUGAACCGUGAGGCUUAACCUUACA